AUGUAUGAUGUGAAGGUGCCCUACGUUAUUUGUAAUGAGUUAGUAAAGAUCAGCUGUUUGAUCUUGAGAAUCUUGUCUUUUCAUGUAAAAACACCACUCUUUCUGGUUUUUCUUGAGAAGUCAUAUGCUUUUUUUGCUUGGGUAAUAUAGCAAGUGCUAAAUAGAUCAAGAUCAUUAUAGUAAGUACGGGCACUUCCAUGGAUAGAACGGGAUAUGAGUGCAAACUUUGGGGUAUUUUAUUUGGACAGCCACAUCUAUCUAUCUGAGUUCUUCCUCUUCUUAGUUCUCAUUUCAUGUUUACUCCAUCACUUAUCUGACUUUAACAUGUUAUCUGUGUAGUUGCAGAUGAGGAGCAGAAAGGACCCGUGAAUCCUUAUGAUGGCAAGGUGUAUGUUCGACGGGAUGCCAUGUCAAAUAAAGCUGCUUCAAGACUUCUCCACCAUGAGUAUCAGUUGCUGCAUGACCAGCCUGCAAGAUACCGUACCCCCUGGACGAAUUGCCCAAACUCACUAUCUUGAUGUCCUGGUGGAUGGGCCAACUACCAGAGUGUCAUCUAUUCACAGAAGUGAGAAGCUGCCUAGUGUUGAUGGUGUUAGAGGUCACCGACUGCGAGUAUGCCAUGUCUUGCAAGAAGAUGGAGAGCGAAACAGUUUUUUUAUCCCCUCUGAGAGAUGAUCAUUCCCUUCAGCCAAGAGAGUCUUUGUUAACAUUCAAAUGGAUGCUCACCUAGGAAUCCAUCCAUUUAUCGGUCAAGAAGAUUCUUCUACCCUGACUGACAGGACAAUUUUGCAUGAUACUUCUGAUCUGCAUGUCAAGAGAAAACGCAAGAUUGAAGAAGCCCAGAUUGCUAGGGAAGUUAAAGCUAAUGAAAACCGAAUUCGCAAAGCACUAGAGAAAGAAAAUAUUUUGAGGAGAAAGGUUUUCAUUUAUCACUUAAGGAUAUGUGAGCUUUGUGGAGAAAACUUUGGCGUGUACUGAUAUCCUGUAUUUUUCUAUUGCGGGCUGAGGAACGAAUGAGGAAAGAGAUGGAAAGAUUUGAUCGUGAAAGAAGGAAGGAAGAAGAAAGGUUGAUGCGUGAACAGCAUAGAGAGGAGGAGAGAUUGCUACGUGAGCAAAGGCGAGAAUCAGAGCGACGGGAGAAGUAUUUACAGAAAGAAUCU